CCAGACUCCUACGGGAGGCAGCAGUAGGGAAUCUUCGGCAAUGGACGGAAGUCUGACCGAGCAACGCCGCGUGAGUGAAGAGGGUUUUCGGAUCGUAAAGCUCUGUUGUAAGAGAAGAACGAGUGUGAGAGUGGAAAGUUCACACUGUGACGGUAUCUUACCAGAAAGGGACGGCUAACUACGUGCCAGCAGCCGCGGUAAUACGUAGGUCCCGAGCGUUGUCCGGAUUUAUUGGGCGUAAAGCGAGCGCAGGCGGUUAGAUAAGUCUGAAGUUAAAGGCUGUGGCUUAACCAUAGUACGCUUUGGAAACUGUUUAACUUGAGUGCAGAAGGGGAGAGUGGAAUUCCAUGUGUAGCGGUGAAAUGCGUAGAUAUAUGGAGGAACACCGGUGGCGAAAGCGGCUCUCUGGUCUGUAACUGACGCUGAGGCUCGAAAGCGUGGGGAGCAAACAGGAUUAGAUACCCUGGUAGUCCACGCCGUAAACGAUGAGUGCUAGGUGUUGGGUCCUUUCCGGGACUCAGUGCCGCAGCUAACGCAUUAAGCACUCCGCCUGGGGAGUACGACCGCAAGGUUGAAACUCAAAGGAAUUGACGGGGGCCCGCACAAG
rnacentral:rRNA from 1 species